CUCGUAGGCGGUUCGUCGCGUCCGGUGUGAAAGUCCAUCGCUUAACGGUGGAUCCGCGCCGGGUACGGGCGGGCUUGAGUGCGGUAGGGGAGACUGGAAUUCCCGGUGUAACGGUGGAAUGUGUAGAUAUCGGGAAGAACACCAAUGGCGAAGGCGCCUUUCUGGACUGUGUCUGACGCUGAGAUGCGAAAGCCAGGGUAGCGAACG
rnacentral:rRNA from 1 species